rnacentral:tRNA from 1 species
GCGGGCGUAGCUCAGUGGUAGAGCACAACCUUGCCAAGGUUGGUGUCGUGAGUUCGACUCUCAUCGUCCGCUCCA